rnacentral:lncRNA from 1 species
AUGGCACAGGUGUCCCCUUUACCUGGCACAGGUGUCCCCUUCCAUGGCACAGGUGUCCUCUUUACCUGGCACAGGUGUCCCCUCAUCAUGGCACAGGUGUCCCCUUCCAUGGCACAGGUGUCCCCUUUACCUGGCACAGGUGUCCCCUUCCAUGGCACAGGUGUCCCCUUUAUCAUGGCACAGGUGUCCUCUUUACCUGGCACAGGUGUCUCCUCAUCAUGGCACAGGUGUCCUCUUUACCUGUCACAAGUGUCCCCUUUACCUGGCACGGGUGUCCCCUUUAUUGUGUCACACGUGACCCUUUUGUCCCGUCACAGUUGUCCCUUUAUCCUGGCACAGUUGUCCCCCUUGCCUGGGCAGAGGUGCCCCCCUUUACCUGGCACAGGUGUCCGUGGCACAUGUGACCUUCUUUUCCUGGCACAGUCAUCCCUCUUGUCCCAGCACAGGUGUCCCCUUGUGCCAGUUUCCCCUCUUUACCUGACACAGGUGUCCCCUUAUCCCAGGUGUCCUCCUUACCCCAUCACAGGUGUCCCCUUUACCUGGCACAGGUGCCCCUUGCCAGUCCCAGGAGGGGAAUCCACGCUCUGGCUGCUGCAGGAUCUGGGCCUCCCAUUUCCAGCCCGGCAGAAUUCCCAGCCCCUCCUUUAUUAAAUGUAAUAAAUAAAUAAAAAUGUAAAUUAAAA